UAACGUAUCGGCCGCCGCACCGUGCGCACGUGACGUUGCCUCGGUGGAAAGUUUUCCGGGCAAGUGCGCGACGGGUUUUCAGUCGUAGUGCGCGAGCGUGCAACUUCACACCUGCCGAUUCGCCGCUCAAGUGUCGCCGCCGUCCGUCUUCGAUCGGCUCCGGUUCGGUACGGGGAUCAAGCUAAAAGGAAUAGAAUAAAAAUAAAUAAUAACAAAAAAAAAAAAAAAACACUAACAUCGAAUCGUAACAAGAAACGAAAAAAAAAACAGUAAGUGCAAUAAUAACCAGUGUUAGAUGGUGAAGAGUAGUUCAGCGAAGUGCGCACGUGAUUAUUGUUACGAGACACCGAACGAACGGAAAAUUAAAAAUAAAAGUUCACGUCGGAGUUCACGAAUUGUCUUAUAUUUACGAUCGGCUUCGCGUUCCGGACGUGCGAAAUUUCCAGCGAUCAAAUAUUACCUAACGGUUUUCACGAAGGGCUGGUAAAAAAACAACGAUAAAACGAGAAAUUAAUGAUGACGUUGACGUGGAUGAUAGAAUGCAGAAUCUUGCCGACAAGACACAAUGCCACGUAACCAUGAAGACUAUGCCAUAUAUGAUCCAUGUACUGCUGAUAUUGAUAUUGAUAACCGUAAUCAACAAUUGUGGCGAAUGUAGACCGCAGUCGGGGCAGCCGAGUCAGCCGCAGGCCGGGUCGCCGCUGGACCCGAACGACACCAGCAACGGCGGCGGCAACAACAGCGCGAUAUCGCGACGCGGCUGGCGGGGCGAGUGGCGCAGGACCGACCCUGGCACCGUGUACAGUUACAUAUGGAAGAGCAGCGACCAGCCGCUCGGUAAAGCCGAACUGUACAUCAUACUCGCGCUGCUGAUCGGCAUGGCGACCGUCAUAGUCGGCUGUUGGCUAUCGGACAACUGUUGGUCGCCCGAACCGGAACAACACUACACGAUCGCGUGGCACGACCGGCACCGAUGGAUAUGAGAAACGGUCCGGGGUGGAAAAAGAACAACCCCGCGACAGCAAACCGGUCCGGACGCGGUCGUCCGCGAUCCGGUGCUCCGCCGUCAAUGUAAUCGACCGUGAACCGCAGACACAGUCCGGUAAUAAACGCACUAAUUAACGGUUACGAUAAACAACGUCCAUAACAUUUGUAACGAUCAUUGUUUUGUUAUUUGCCCGUUAGCCAUGAGCCUCCUCCCACCCCCACAAUCCGGUCGGAAGUUGUGGGUAAUAAUUAUUAAAUCGACUCGGCGUCACCGGACCACAAAGCAACCGUUUUGAAAACAAAGAUUUAUCAAUAUCCUCGUUAUCAUCAAAUAGUUUAUUAACAUUUCUCGCGCCAUUAGUGUCGCAGUAUCUGGUAGCGGUGGAAAUAUCCGAAUUUCAAGGACCAUCCGGAUCGAUCAAUUCGAUUUCACUGCUUGCUCUAUAACUGAUUCUCGUGUUUACAAAUAUUCAAUUAACGUUGUGCUGUUAGGAUAGGUCGAUCGAGUAUUCAGUCAUGGCAUCUUUUUGAAAAUUAAAUUGCUACAGGGCUCUCGGUCCGGGACGCGUAAACGUUAUUUUCGUCGGUUGAACUCGAUGCGGAAGAUUUCAUCGUCUCCUAACGCAUCAACGCUGCCGACCACCGACAAAUAACUAUUAAUUGUUCAGCCGCACUUGCUCGUUCGCAAUGAUAAUAAAACCGGUGUACAUAUAUUUAGUUCUAGAACAAUGGUUUUCAACCUGUGCGUCGCGGCUCCCAGAGGCGUCGCCGGUUAUUAUCAAGGGAGCCGCGUUCGUAAUAAAAACUAAAAAUAAAAUUUCCGCGCACCAAUACAUAUUACAUGUUGCGUGUGUAAGACAGAUCGGCCGUCGAUAAUCGUGUUUGCGAUAUCGAGAAAUAGCAAAUUUCGAUUACUAUUUAUAAUUAGGUGAUUUGCCUCUAAUCUAAUCUAUUUUAAAUGUUCGUAUGGGAGCCGUAUAUUUUAUUUCGAAAUCAAAAGGAGCCGUGGACCCAAAAAGGUUGACAACCACUGCUCUAGAAGAUAAAGUUAUCGCACAAAUCUCGCAUAUUUUUUAAACGUGUACAUAUAAAUAGUUUGUAUAUAUCACAUAAUCCUGUUCUAAAAUACUUGUCUCUUUUUUUCAAUUCACUUUUGUAAAUACGAAACGAUUCGACAAAAUAUCAUAACCUUUUAUUAUAAUAAUGUACAUUGUGUGUUAUGUUCCAGCACCGGACGUGCAUUUCCGUGAUUUUCCUUCUAGUCGUCAAUUAUUUACAUAAAAACAUAAUGAUUAUUUAUGUUCAUGUACAUCACUAUAAUACUGUUUUACGUAUUUUAUUAACUGUCAAUUACUAUUGUGAAACCAAUAAGACGUUAGAUUUAACUUAGGUAGGUCAUUGGGACGCAAACAUAACAAGUCGUUUUCGGUGUAUUUUUUUUUUUUUUUUUUUUGUUAAACUGCAAGUGGUGUCAGACGAGAAGAAACGAUUGUACGAACAAAUAAUUAUAAAGUAUUGGUAAUGAGUUUAUUAAAGAUCAAAAGCUAUUACUUUUUCGCCUGAUGUUUUCAGUAAAAUUAAUACUUAGUUUUUAGAUAGUAAAUAGACUCCCGCUAAUGAUGUUAGAUUCUAAAAUGCAGGACCUAUUGUAUUAUUUUUCAAUACACUAAUAUCGGUUUUGUAUAAUGUGCAGGGUUAGUAGCUUUUUUAUAAUUUAAAACGAUAUAAUAACUCGUAUGCCUUCAAAUUAAGUACGUGAUACAAUCACAUGCAUAUAGUUCAUUUUACCAACCGAUAUAGUUCGUCGAUCGGGACACAGCUCGUUUUGAGUUGUAAAUAACAACUAGGUUUUUAUUUAUUACUAGGAAACAUAGUUAUAAUAUUAACUUAAAACUUAAUUCAUAUUAUUACAACGAUUUUCGUUUUAGAAGCAACUAUUGAUAACGUCCUAAGCUUGCAGUACAUUUCAGAAAAUAUUUAUA
rnacentral:misc_RNA from 1 species